rnacentral:rRNA from 1 species
UACGUAGGGGGCAAGCGUUGUCCGGAAUUAUUGGGCGUAAAGCGCGCGCAGGCGGCUAUUUAAGUCUGGUGUUUAAACCUUGGGCUCAACCUGGGGUCGCACUGGAAACUGGGUGGCUUGAGUACAGAAGAGGAAAGUGGAAUUCCACGUGUAGCGGUGAAAUGCGUAGAGAUGUGGAGGAACACCAGUGGCGAAGGCGGCUUCCGUGGUCUGCAACUGACGCUGUGGCGCGAAAGCUAGGGGAGCAAACGGG